rnacentral:rRNA from 1 species
UACGGGGGAGCAAGCGUUGGUUCGGAUUUACUGGGCGUAAAGGGCGCGUAGGCGGCCACCGCAAGUCGGUUGUGAAAUCUCCGGGCUUAACCCGGAAAGGUCAAUCGAUACUGCGGGGCUAGAGUGCAGAAGGGCAACUGGAAUUCUCGGUGGUAGCGGUGAAAUGCGUAGAUAUCGAGAGGAACACCUGCGGCGAAGGCGGGUUGCUGGGCUGACACUGACGCUGAAGCGCGAAAGCUAGGGAGCGAACGGG